rnacentral:rRNA from 1 species
ACUCCUACGGGAGGCAGCAGUGGGGAAUAUUGGACAAUGGGCGCAAGCCUGAUCCAGCCAUGCCGCGUGAGUGAUGAAGGCCCUAGGGUUGUAAAGCUCUUUCACCGGUGAAGAUAAUGACGGUAACCGGAGAAGAAGCCCCGGCUAACUUCGUGCCAGCAGCCGCGGUAAUACGAAGGGGGCUAGCGUUGUUCGGAUUUACUGGGCGUAAAGCGCACGUAGGCGGACUAUUAAGUCAGGGGUGAAGUCCCGGGGCUCAACCCCGGAACUGCCUUUGAUACUGGUAGUCUUGAGUUCGAGAGAGGUGAGUGGAAUUCCGAGUGUAGAGGUGAAAUUCGUAGAUAUUCGGAGGAACACCAGUGGCGAAGGCGGCUCACUGGCUCGAUACUGACGCUGAGGUGCGAAAGCGUGGGGAGCAAACAGGAUUAGAAACCCCUGUAGUCCCAUG